UACAGAGGUCUCGAGCGUUGUUCGGAUUCAUUGGGCGUAAAGGGCGCGUAGGCGGCGGGGUAAGUCUGGUGUGAAAUCUCGGAGCUCAACUCCGAAACUGCACUGGAUACUGCUCUGCUAGAGGGCUGGAGAGGAGAUCGGAAUUCACGGUGUAGCAGUGAAAUGCGUAGAUAUCGUGAGGAAGACCAGUGGCGAAGGCGGAUCUCUGGACAGCUCCUGACGCUGAGGCGCGAAGGCUAGGGGAGCAAACGGG
rnacentral:rRNA from 1 species